UAAAAGUAGUUAUUAAGAUUUUUUCUUUAAAGCUUUUGAAACUUAAUAACACUUUAAGUUAACCUUGUUAAGAUCAUUAAUUUUACCUUUCAAAGAUCAAAGAAGAAUUAUUAAAAUCUUUUUCGUCUGAUAACUAAUAAACUAACUAACUAAAUCAUUGAUGCAUAAUUAACUGCACCAAUGAUUUUUUGUUAUUUUUACCGCAAAAAAUGCAGAUUUAUCUGUUCAAACCAAUUAUUUAAAAAGGCUUUUUUUUAUUAUUAAUCAUUCGUUAUUUUUUUUUACUUGUGAUUUUAGCUUUAAAUCUUAUAAAAAAUUUAAUGAUAAAAGUUUUUUUUAGAAAAGUGUUGUGCAAACUGAUUUGUUGUGCUAUAAUCUUUAAGGCUUAUAUA
rnacentral:misc_RNA from 1 species